AUAGUAAGAGGAAAAUCCGUCGACUUUAAAAAUCGUGAGGGUUCAAGUCCCUCUAUCCCCAAUAA
rnacentral:tRNA from 1 species